rnacentral:rRNA from 1 species
GAUGAACGCUGGCGGCGUGCCUAAUACAUGCAAGUCGAGCGAACAGACGAGGAGCUUGCUCCUCUGACGUUAGCGGCGGACGGGUGAGUAACACGUGGAUAACCUACCUAUAAGACUGGGAUAACUUCGGGAAACCGGAGCUAAUACCGGAUAAUAUAUUGAACCGCAUGGUUCAAUAGUGAAAGACGGUUUUGCUGUCACUUAUAGAUGGAUCCGCGCCGCAUUAGCUAGCUGGUAAGGUAACGGCUUACCAAGGUAACGAUGCGUAGCCGACCUGAGAGGGUGAUCGGCCACACUGGAACUGAGACACGGUCCAGACUCCUACGGGAGGCAGCAGUAGGGAAUCUUCCGCAAUGGGCGAAAGCCUGACGGAGCAACGCCGCGUGAGUGAUGAAGGUCUUCGGAUCGUAAAACUCUGUUAUUAGGGAAGAACAAAUGUGUAAGUAACUAUGCACGUCUUGACGGUACCUAAUCAGAAAGCCACGGCUAACUACGUG